UCCCGAGAAAGAGAAGAUUCUGCAAAAUAAAUCAAAAUAUACGGUCAGGAUUGUUUGGAUAUGAGGACAGACGUUCACUAAACGGUGUGUGUUGGUGCUGGAGCUGUCAACUGUGAGCAGUGAGCAGUCAUGAGGCCACUGAGAGAUGCCCAGCUAGGGGCCUUCACCUUCUUUGCCUCCGCUCUUCCCCACGAUGUGUGCGGGAGCAACGGCCUCCCCCUCACCCCUAACUCCAUCAAGAUCCUGGGCCGUUUCCAGCUGCUCAAGACCAUUACCCACCCCAGGCUCUGCCAGUACGUAGACAUCUCCAGAGGGAAGCAUGAACGACUGGUUGUUGUGACGGAACACUA